UGGUGGUGAAGAGAACAGGCAACCUG
rnacentral:piRNA from 1 species